rnacentral:rRNA from 1 species
UGGCGGCAGUAGCGCGGUGGUCCCACCUGACCCCAUGCCGAACUCAGAAGUGAAACGCCGUAGCGCCGAUGGUAGUGUGGGGGUCUCCCCAUGUGAGAGUAGGGAACUGCCAGACA